rnacentral:RNase_P_RNA from 2 species
UCAGUUGGCCGGGCAGCCGCGCUUUACCAAUGCCGAAAGGCGGUAGGGUGAGGAAAGUCCGGGCUCCAUGGAAACACGGUGCCGGAUAACGUCCGGCGAGGGUGACCUCAGGGAAAGUGCCACAGAAAGCAAACCGCCGACGCCUUGGCGUCGGUAAGGGUGAAAGGGUGGGGUAAGAGCCCACCGCAUUUCCGGUAACGGCGAUGGCAAGGUAAACCCCACCGGGAGCAAGACCGAAUAGGGAUGACGCGGUAAGCGAAAGUUUGCCGGCCGGUUUCUAGGCCAGUCAUCCGGGUGGGUUGCGUGAGGCGGCGUGUAAACGUCGUCCCAGAGGAAUGGCUGCCACGUUCCGGUUUCGGCCGGAGCCAUACAGAACCCGGCUUACAGGCCAACUGGCGAU